AGGGGCCUUGGUGACCAUUUGGACCCUAACAGCUGCUCAGACUGAAGCAAUAUCUGAGAGCUACUGCCUAGGUCCAUCCUUGUGAGUCAACAUAUUUGGAGCAGAGGCAAACCUGCCACCAACUACAAGAACAUUGAGAACCUACUUAGAGCAGGGAAGAAGGGAAUCAGGUGGUUUUAAGGACCUUGCCAAGGGUUGUUAAGUUUGCUAAUCAUGAAACGCCAUUAUGUUGAUACUGGGAAUGAGAAGGAUCUGCCCUACAGCAAGGCUCCAUGCCAACCUGCCGAGGAAUUGGAUGAUGUGAACUGGGUACCUUUGUGGAAGCAGGCAGGAGAUGUGAAGGAAGAAGAAUGUGCACCCGUCCCUGGACCUUCAAUAAGCAUAGCCCAAGAUGCUGGCUUAGAGUUCAAGGCUCACAGUCAGCAGGGGAGGAGUAGAACUCUCUCAGCCUACCAGUCUUGUUCACAGUAUUACUCUUGCUUCUCUUCAAUAACCAACCCAGAGGAGAACAAGUCUCAGCAAAACACGUAUGCCUUUUACACCCGGGUGCAGACGGUUCGGGGUGUGGCUGUGGCCUGGGAGACAGAGUCUGGGUUUGAGCCAAUUGGUAUUAGGCCUCGGGUAAGGGAGGCUGAAUUCCCUGAGAGGCAGAGGAGGGCCGGCUCUCCCCUUGAAAGUAUUUCUACUAGUGACAUGGUCAGUGAAAUUGAUCCUUGGGAGGGAGAUGCCUUUCAGGAAUUUGAAGAGUCUGAGACACCAGUCCCAUCAGAUUGUACCCAAGAGAUGAGGGAAACGCCUGACUGGCUGAUCACCACAAACUAUGGCCUCCGCUGCUUGGCCUGUUGCAGGAUCUUUCCCAACUUGGAAGGCCUCUUACACCAUGCCCAGCACGGGAUCAAGGAGGGCUUCAGCUGUCACAUUUUCUACCGGGAAAUGCUUCAGAGAAGACAGUUUCAGAAUCAACUACUGCAUCAAGCGCCAGAGGACCAGGAUCAGGGCCAGGCCCAUAGUAGUGAGCCAAGCAGGUGCCAUAUAAUGCUGUUUGGGUCUCAAAGAGAUAAGCACUUAUCAGGAACAACAGCAAAUGAGCAGUGUUCUAGGAAGUCCUAUGUCAUCUCCAAGGGAAUGGAUCAGCAGAGAGAUCGAGAACAGAGCUAAGAAAAACAGAAUGAAGCAAGAAGUCAAGAGAAGAUUUUUGCUACCACGAAAAAAUGAUGUCACGAACAUUUUGAUACAUAUGGGGCCACUCUGUCUUUGACCUUCUUAAGAAUGGUUGACCUAAUCCAUAAGUCAUGAAGAUAGGAGGUGAAUUAUUGUAUGUGAACAACAACAAGGAGGUCAUUUUGGCUUAACCAUAGAGCACAGGAAGGGGUCUAAUCAACAAGCACUUGUUUAUUAAGCACCUGCUGUGUAUCAUGCAUUAUGCUACGUGCUGUGAUUACAAAGAUGAAAAUAAAAUAAUUCCUGCCCUCAAGAAGCUUAUUGUAUAAAAGCAUUUUAGUGUCUCUGUCUUUCCUAAGCCUCUCCAGCCUUGACUAUUUUCGUUUUCCAUCAUUUUUGCUAAUUUAUUGAAUAUGAAGUGAAAGAAUGACUAGAACUCUAGAUGCAUAAUGAGAUAUAUAAUAAAGGUAUAUAAAAUACACAUCCUUGGAGGCAUGAUAAGGCAUUAAACUCAUUUAUACUAAGUUACUGAUGACUCAUCUUAAGCAUGGGUGCUAGAUACAUCUCUUAAUCUUUCCAUGCCUCAGUUUCUUCUUCUGUAAAAUUAUGCAGUUGGACUAAAUUGUUUCUAAUGUCCUUUAUAGCUCUUAAUAUCUGAUUCCAUGACCCUUAAAAUAGUUUUAAUUUACAUUUUAAAAUUAUUCUUUCACAUGACUAUUUAUAGCUUGCAAUUCUAUUGAGAACUGCUUGUUCAUAUCCUUUGAUGACAUCUAUUGGGGAACAGCUCUUGGUCCUACAUAUAACUUUUUCUUUCUUUCUUUCUUUCUUUCUUUCUUUCUUUCUUUCUUUCUUUCUUUCU